GAUGAACGCUGGCGGCGUGCUUAACACAUGCAAGUCGAACGAUGAAAGCGGGAGCUUGCUCCUGCUGGAUUAGUGGCGAACGGGUGAGUAACACGUGAGUAACCUGCCCUUGACUCUGGGAUAAGCGUUGGAAACGACGUCUAAUACCGGAUACGACCUUCGGAGGCAUCUCCUGGGGUGGAAAGAAUUCGGUCAAGGAUGGACUCGCGGCCUAUCAGCUAGUUGGUGAGGUAAUGGCUCACCAAGGCGACGACGGGUAGCCGGCCUGAGAGGGUGACCGGCCACACUGGGACUGAGACACGGCCCAGACUCCUACGGGAGGCAGCAGUGGGGAAUAUUGCACAAUGGGCGCAAGCCUGAUGCAGCAACGCCGCGUGAGGGACGACGGCCUUCGGUUGU
rnacentral:rRNA from 1 species